AAGUCGUAACAAGGUUUCCGUAGGUGAACCUGCGGAAGGAUCAUUAACGAAUUGUAAAGGAGAGUUGAUGCUGGUAGCUUUCGGGUUGCAUGUGCUCGCUCUCUGACAUUUCAUUAUCCAUACACCUGUGAACCUUUGAGGGAACCGAGUCUUUACGGAUUCGAGGCCCUCUUUUAUUAACACAUACCCCUUUAUAAAAUAUUGAACGUGAUAGUGCCGAAAGGCCAUAAUCAAAUAUACAA
rnacentral:misc_RNA from 1 species